CGGAAAAACAAAUAAUUUGCGAAAAUUAUAACUCAAAACCCAAAUUUAACAAAAAGGAAGGCGGAUUGUAAGAUGCCGCUCGGCACGUACAACACAAUAGCUCAACUACUAAAAUACUAUCGCAAAACCCGAAAAUAUACGGGAACACAAGCUAACAGAAUGUAAUACAUAGCUCUAACUCCAAAAUGUCUAAAACAACAGUACUGCAGGAAAGCUAACUGCUAAAGCUAGAAUAAGAUAGAGACUCCUGGUUUGCGGAUGCAGCAGAUGUACCUCGAAGUCUCUGAUAGAUCUCUCUGUCUCGAUAUUAAUAUGCCUGGGUGGAGGUACCUGGAUCUGCACUUGAAAAACAUGCACAGAAGGGGCAUGAGUACACCAUAGCGGUACUCAAUAAGUGCCAAGCCUAACCUCGGUAGUGACGACGAAGGUCAGGGCCCUACUGAGAAUAAACAUAAUAAUAUAUCUUGCAACAGUAUGAAAUAAGCAGGAAUAAUGAGUACAACUAUGAAGUAAGACAAGUUAUACAAGGCAACAAAUAACACACAGAAAAUAAGGUAAGACGGAGUAAACAACUCAAUAGCAGUUGUCGACGCCCCCUUUUUCCUCUGUGGAAAUAAGAUUUACGACAUUUUGGGAAGACAACUCUAUUCUCUUUUGGGAAUUCACUAAAAGGGGUCUUUGAGUUGAAGAAACCAUAGUUCGGGUAAGAGCUAGAUAUUAUCGCGAGGGGUAGGUGUUAGGCACCCCUCAAGAUCCACUAGUGUGGUUCCCAUCCAUGUUAUAGUUGUGACUUUAAACAAAAAGUAAGCAGAUUAAGGUCUCAUAUAGAAGGGAUUUUCACAUAAUGUCGCAAGUGGAUUUAAAGUUUAAAAAACAUAGAGAAAAUCAGAGAUUUAAAAAAAAGUAAUUUGAACAAAUAAAAAAAGUAAAGAAAAAUGGGGGUCCUAGGUUUAUGAACAACAUGGAUCAACCCACACAACACCCGGUAACCGUUUAUACACGUGGUGUUAUCACGUGGUCAUCAUAUCAAUAUCUACCCUUCCCACCCUGUUAAGGUAUUAAAGCGCGAAAUGGUAUCAUUACCUAUCACAUGCUAUUACCCGUCCCAAUCCUAUCAAUCCUAGAGGCAUAUGGGAUCACUAAUACUAAAAGGGAGGGAGUGGAGGCUUUUGAGAGUUUUUAAAGGAUAAAAUGCUAAGGCGACAAUUAAAACAUAUAAAGCAAAUAGUGGGAAAGCAAUUAGGCAGACAUGGCUCAAAUAAACCUCUUUAAAUCAAAGGAAAGCAUAUAGUCUAGCAUGUCUUAUGCAUACUAGUUAUGGUCUGAAUUACGCUUAAACAUUAAGGAGGCAGACUGGCUUAUUACAUGUUUUAGAUAAGAAACCGAAAUCAGACCUGCCUGCUGGCUGGAAAUAGUAGACUGAUGCUGUUAUACCUUUUUUUAUUUUUACCCUAAAGCUUGCCUAGGUGUUAAACGAAACCUAUAUACAUGAUGUCUAUUAAUUGAGAAAGAGGUAAACUGAUUGCAGAAAAGAAUUGUCGAUUGCAGGAACGUUAUUGCUACUGAUUUUAUCGACUUGACGACUCAUGUUUGGUAGAUAACUCCUAUAGGCAUACUUUCUAGCCGUCACUGAUUUUAAGCACCAUUAUCAUGGAGAAAUCCUAUAGGCAGCUCAUCUAUAUGCAAUUGAUUAUUCAAAUCCUAUUACAGAUUUUCCUAGUGACAGAUGCAUAUGCAAAAAAAAAUGCGAAAGUCCUAUAGGCAUAUAAUCUAUAUGGAUAAUUUCAGAGAUGACCUAUAGACAUGAUAUCUAUAUGAAGUGCCGAAAAACCUAUAGCCAGGGUAUCUAUAUGAGAUGCAACACCUCAGAUGUAGUAAUUCUCUACGAAAAUUGUAUCUAUAUUAAAUGCAGUGUUUCAGAAGUAGAGAUUCCCUAUGAACAUGGUGUCUAUAUGUAAUACAGUGUUUCAUAAGUAGAGAUUCCCUAUGAACAUGGUAUCUAUAUGAAAUGCAGUGUUUCGGAGGUAGAGAUUCCCUAUGAACAUAGUAUCUAUAUGAAAUGCAGAAACCUAAAGACAUGGCUCCUAAUGCAGAAGUGAAAUAACUUAUAGGCAGGAUUUCUACAUGCAAAAUUAUAAGAAGAAUUUCUACAUGUAAUGCAUAAACGAAGGAGCACGUUGUAGGUGCAAAAAGUAAAUACCUAAAGCUGUAUGUCUACCCAUAUGCAUACAUGAGUCACCCUCCCCCUUUUUACUAGAACCCCGUAGUUAUUACAAAUUAUUACAUAUUAUUACAGACCUGAAUGAAUAAAGAAAAGUAAAGUACAUCAGAAAACUAAACAGUCCCAGCCAAGGAGAGCCUAACUCAGACUGCUGUCUGAAGCAUGAAGUAAACCAACUCCCAAGAUCAGAUUUCCAAAGCCUUUCUCUUAUUUGGGAUGUGCCAGAGUUCCCUAGGAAUCUCAAAUGGAGUGCUUACACCCAAAUAUAUUGCAGAAUUGGAUUAUGGUGCAGUGUGGAAGGGCCAGACCUCAAAUGUACAAGUUUAGAGGGAAACUCAAGGUUCCCAAGGUAGGGCUCAGAGCUCUCUAAGAAUCUCAAACAGAUUCCAGGCAGUGCUUACGCCCUAAUAUGUUGCAGAAUUUGAUUAUAAUGCAGUGUGGAAGGGCCAACCCUCAAAUGUCCAAGUUCACAGAGAAACGCAAGGUUCCCAAGGCAGGGCUCAUAGGAAGGGGGGGGGGGGCAGAACAUAGGGUCUAAGAGUAAGUGCAAGUGUAGUAAAAGGGGAUGAGGCAAGCUGGUGGUCAUACCUAGCAAUUUGGGGUGAUGGAACACCCUUGACCAGCUUGUCAGUUCAAAUUGAGGAGUCAAGACCCGUUGAAGGUCAGGUUCAUCCAUAGACAACAAUUUUGGUGCUACUAGGCUAUACCUUAACUCAACACACAUAAGGGAAUGAGGGUAUGGGGAGCUGAAAGAGACAAAAGCAGGCAUUGGACAUGUCCAGCAAUAGGGAAUGCUAACAUGCCCACAAUCCUGUUACACUAUUUAGAGGUUAGGAUCCAAAAGAUCUAGUUUUAAUACAUUGACAACAACUUGUAUAUUGCCAUAUUUUAAACUAUAGCUCAAACACUUAAAAGGGCAGGGAGUAGGGAUUUAUUGCAUUUGCAGGAAACUAAAGCAAACAGUAGCAUAUGAACAUGUCAAACUCUGCAGGUAACGGAUAUAGAUUUGAAGACUAUAAGUAAACAUAUUAGGAUUAUGCUGGGAAUUGAGUUAAGACAUACCAGUUUAAGGAGAUAAACAGAGAGGAAGCAGCAGUGUUGUGAAAACCAAAGUGCCAAUAAAGAAUACUCAAAAGAGAUUGUGAAAAUUGUAAGUAUACUCAAAAGAGGUUGUGAAAAUUGUAAGUAUGAAGUCUGGAGUGUAUUCCGUUCUAUGUUUGUGAAAGGAGGGUCGAGUAUUUAUAGUUUGAAAAUAGGCAGAAGUAAGGGAAAAAUCAUGGUAAUUAUGGAACUAUGUAUCAAUUGCAAUCAAUCAACAUAGGCACUUCCUUUUAAUUAAGGAUUUUAAACUCAAAUGGUAAUGGACAACAAACAGUUAAGGAAAGAAAUCAAGUGAACGACUUGUGUAAAGUAGGAAAUUAGGGGUAAAUACAUACAGGUGUAACUAAGAAAAGAAUCUUUAAUAUACAUGAUUAGCCCACACAAGAUAAGAACAAAAAAAUCAAUUAGUACAUAGUAAAUCAAGGAAUUUGGGUUUCAAAAAUUACCAAUGAACCAGGUUAGAAGCAGGGGAAAGAAAGGUCCACGUCGGGAAAAUCAGGAACAAUCAAAUAAGCACCAUCAAAGGGAUUCAAAAUCAAUUAGUAGUUGGCAAAAUCUCUUGAAAGAAGAAUUCUCAUAUAUAAAGUACACAGACAUGUGAGUCAAGAAGAGACUGUCGAGUUAUGUAAGAAAGAGGAGUUCAGAUUCAUAAAGACUCAAAAAUCAUGAGCUAAGAGAUAUCCAGUUUGCAGACUCACAGUAAGUCUGAGAGUCCAGGGUCCCAAAGCGGAGCCUUAACUCGAAAGAAUCAAAGUCAUCAGAGGAAACCCCCAAAUCUUAGGGUCUCAAAAUUGAAUAAAACAUGGAAGCAAGCCAUUUGCUUCAGAGUCUCAACAAAACAGAUAUGAUAGCAUGUUGAAUGACAAAUGAAGAAGAAUCAUGAAGAACUUAUUUUGAGAAAACUUGGAACCUAAACAAGUUCAGGAGAAUGAGAUAAUGCAACUUGAACACAGUAGAUGAAGCAUGUAAGAACAUGAACAAAGUCCAGUAAACAAGAAUCAAAUAACUUAAUGGCAAACACACAUAGUAAAAGAGUUGAGAGAACAUAGCAAAGAUUAACAGGAGUAACAUGCAAUCAUAGUAGAAAGAUUCAAAGUACACAUCAGCGAAUACUUAUUAGAAUAAUCGGAGAAAGAUGCUUAGCAUAACCCUAAACAAGGCUCAAUCGAAGGAAGACAAAGAACUAUAAGGAAUUAGCAAGAAAAGUAUAAAAAAAAAGAAUCGCUGGGAAAGGUAUAGCACGAAAGCAUAUAGAGAAACACAAUAAGAUAAACAUAUAAACACAUGAUGAGAUGUAGUAGAAAAGUCUACAAGAACAUAUUAUAGAAAAACACAGUACAACAGAGGACAUCACAAAGAAGAAAGACUCAUAAAACUCCUAAACAUUUUCCAGAAAACCUUUGACCUACAAAGAAGGUUUUUAAAAAGUAAUUUUCAAAGAAAUAUUUAGGAAAAUCAUUUGAAAACUCACUCAUAGCAUAGAUACACAGCGGAUCUAAAAAGAAUCGAAGAAAACCUCGAACAGUUAGGGUUUCAGAGGAACCCUAGGGUGAGAAAGGCUUUGAAAAAGGUCCGAUCUGAGUCGGAUAAGGUUGGAAUCAGGCUCAGGAGGCUACGAUAUGCCGAAGCAAAGCCUGGAGAUGGCCGGAAACCUUGAGUUGACGAAGGUCUGGUCUCGAACCUUCAAGCAUCAUGCACACAUGAGUAAUAUGAGCUGAGUAUAUAUCAUCUAUGGACAGAGAAGCCAUGGAUUCUGGUGGGGUUGUGGUCAGAGAGGCGGUCGAGUUCAUAAGAGAAGAGAGAACCAGAAGGUUAUAGGGAGAAGGGAGAGGGAGAGCCGAUAUAGAGAAAGAGAC
rnacentral:lncRNA from 1 species